GUGGCGAACGGGAGAGUAACGCGUGGGAAACCUGCCCUUCAGCGGGGGACAACAGUUCUAACGAGCUGCUAAUACCGCAUACGAUCUAACUACCGCAUGGUGGUUUGAUGAAAGAUGGCCUCUACAUGUAAGCUGUCACUGAAGGAUGGUCCCGCGUCCCAUUAGCUUGUUGGUGGGGUAAAGGCCUACCAAGGCGACGAUGGGUAGCCGGCCUGAGAGGGUGUCCGGCCUCACUGGGACUGAGAUACGGCCCAGACUCCUACGGGAGGCAGCAGUCGAGAAGCUUCGGCAAUGGACGAAAGUCUGACCGAGCGACGCCGCGUGAGCGAUGAAGGCCUUCGGGUCGUAAAGCUCUGUCAGGAGGGAAUAAAUACCUAUGGUUAAUACCCAUGGGGGCUGAAGGUACCUCCAGAGGAAGCGCCGGCUAACUACGUGCCAGCAGCCGCGGUAAUACGUAGGGUGCAAGCGUUACUCGGAAUUACUGGGCGUAAAGGGUCCGUAGGCGGCCUGGAAAGUUGGAUGUGAAAUCCCACAGCUUAACUGUGGUACUACGUCCAAAACUAUCAGGCUAGAGGAUGGUAGGGGACAGUGGAACUCAAGGUGGAGCGGUGAAAUGCGUAGAGAUCUUGAGGAACGCCGGUGGCGAAAGCGACUGUCUGGGCCAUUCCUGACGCUGAGGGACGAAAGCUAGGGGAGCGAACGGGAUUAGAUACCCCGGUAGUCCUAGCUGUAAACGAUGAC
rnacentral:rRNA from 1 species